rnacentral:rRNA from 1 species
AAAUCCGCUUUGAUAAUGCUGGGGUGUGAUGGGGAGCGAAAUUUAGUAGCGAAGUAGCUGAUUUCACACUGUCAAGAAAAGUCUCUAUCGAGGUUAAAGGUACCCGUACCGCAAACCGACACAGGGGGGUGAGGAGAGUAUCCUAAGGCCAGCGAGAGAACUGUUGUUAAGGAACUCGGCAAAAUGACCCCGUAACUUAGGGAUAAGGGGUGCCACCAUCAGGUGGCCGCAGAGAAUAGGCCCAAGCGACUGUUUACCAAAAACAUAGGUUUCUGCUAAGUCGCAAGACGAUGUAUAGGAGCUGACGCCUGCCCGGUGCUGGAAGGUUAAGGGGAUCUGUUAGAGCAA